UGCCUGUAAUCCUAGCUACUUGGAUCCCUGAGGCACACACCACCGCCCAAUUUUACUUCAGGUAGAUUUACAACCAGACCCUUUGGUGAUAGCAAUGUGAGAACAGGAAGUGCAGGUUCAGAUUUUUCUGUCCUAAAAAUAUUUUUUGCAGCUUCUCAAUUGCACAGGCUUAUGGAAUGGUCGGAAUGGAGUUUCCGUGUUGAACUUCCCAGGAAGAAUCUUUUCUACCUUGUACCUGUAAUUGGUCAUUUUUCCUCCGGCAUCUGAGAAGAGGUUAGCUCAACAGCUCCCAUAGCUGGGUAGAUCUAAAGCCUCCAGGCCAGUCCUUUGAAGGGGAAAGCCUGGACUCACCUGCUGAUUCAGCAGAACAUUAAACUCCUUCCGUCCUGCAGAAAUGAGAUCCUUAUUGGCCUUAAGAAGAGCCAUCUGCCUGGAUAGAGAAAAAGACACAUUUUGCAGAUAAGCCAUCUGUAAGCGCGUGGAUCAAAUUCCACCAGGCUGCGCUCCACAAGAAUGGAAAUGAAUAGCUGGGCAUGGUGGUGUGUGCCUGUAGUCCCAGCUAC